GUUUCAAGUCUCCACGAGACCCUCUGAGGCUGUGGGGACCCCCUGCUCCCUACAACAUGAGCUGGUGUUUCCCAAGCUGCCUGCUCCAUGAGCUUGUCUUCAGCCCUUCUGUUAUGCCAUGGACAGAGCAGCACACCCACAGCACAGGAGGGUCCUCCACUGCCUGUGGAGACCCCUGAAGGAUUUCCGUCCAGCCCAUGGGAGAUGAGCUGCUAGCAUGGCACAGAAACUCUCCACGGUUCCUGCUGGCCCAGUGUAAUCACCCAGCACUCUGCUAAUGCCCACCAACCUUUCCAGCCGGGGCUCACAGUAAUUUUUCUCCCAG
rnacentral:lncRNA from 1 species